rnacentral:lncRNA from 1 species
GCUGUCAUCAGAGUGGCAAUAGCUUUAUAAAAGCAAAAUUAUGAGAGCAGGAGUUGGGACAACAGAGAUGUAGAUGGUCAGGGGAGACCUCUCAGAGGAGGGGACAUCUGGGCUAAGUCCUGUUCCUUAUAACUUUCAAGUAUAAUCCCUGUUUUACUGAUGAGAAUCUGAGUAAGUUGCAGGAUAACUCAUUCAAGUUCGUGCGGUAGCCAAGCUGAGUUUUAAACUCAGCUCUUCCUGCUUCCAAAGUCCAUGCAUUUAAUUUAUUAUGAUCGUUUAUCUAGAAUAGUCAUAGCGAGUUGCCAGGAAGGACCCAAGGAAGAACCCUCAGUCUUAUUAUUCUCCCCCUGUGUCUAUUGUGAUGUCUAAAGCUAUGGGGUUAAUUGAGAGCCUAGACGGAGGAUGCUGCCUUUAGCGGCAUCUCCAGAUAGAAUCUUCAGGCCAACUCCUGUCAUCUGAAGUUGUCUCUUUAUGGGAUGUUCUUUCAUAUGUCCGUACAUGCAUUCAUUUGUUCAACAAAUAUUGGCUGUGCAUCUAUUAUGUGCCAGGUAUUGUUCUAGGUGCUGUAAAAAUAACAGUAGACAAGAAUAGAGAUGCCCCUGCCCUCACACAGCUAAUAUUCUUGUGGGCUAGCCUAAAAAGCUAACAAACAAAUAAAUAUAUAACACAAUAUUGAAUAGUCCUAAUUGCAUUUCAUAAGAAUAAAUCUGGCUUCAUGAGGUAGAGUAUGAUGGAGGGUUGCCAUGUUAUAUAGAGUGGUCAGGGGAGCUAUUUCUCCAGUGGUGAUUUGAUCAGACCUGAAAAAAAAGUGAGAGACUAGCCAAGCACAGGGCUGGGAGAAGCAGUCCAGGCAGAGGAAGGAGGAAAUGCCAAAGGCCUAAGGAGGUGAUGUGAUCUGAUUGGUUAUUAGUUGAACAUAGGUCCUGUUUGUAUUUCAAAAGUGAUGAUGGACUUGGGCAUGUUUGCUCUCUCCGUCUACUUACCCAGCCCCUAGUGAUGGUGAGUAGGAUGCUUAGGAUGAUAGAGGUGGCAGCUGGAGAUAAAAACACAUUCCCAGCCUUCAUAGAGAGAUUGGUGCUGUGAUGGAUGACAUGGCGAGGCUGUGGAAAGGCAUUGUUAAGAGUCAAGCCGACCUGGGGUCCAACUGCAGCCAGCUGUGCACUCAGAAGCAAGUUUCCUCACCUCAUUGCACCUCAGCGUUUUCAUCUGUCAGAUGGGGAUAAGAAUUUUGCUCACCUCACAUUUUACUUGUGAUAAUUAGAUUAUGUGACACAUAUAAAACUCUUGGUGCGGGCCCAGUAUUUACAUGGGUUCUUCCUCACAAAUGAAUGUUUUUUAUUCUUGCACUUAAUUGUGUUUUCUUUUCUGCAGGAAUUCUGAGAGAAAUCUAGGCACCUGAGUUAGUCCUUGGCACCGUUUAGGCAGUAACCAAAUAUUUCCUGAUGAAUGAAUAAAUGAAACUGUAAAGAAAUGAAUGCUUUCAUUCAUAUAUUGCUUUGUAUACUAAUUAAUUACUUUCAAGUAUAAGGAUCUCUUUCAUAGGUCUAAAACUUUUAGCAGACCUCUGGACCAAUUGCAAAUCCUAGCUGUUCUUAGAAUAUGUUUCAAAUGAGAAAAUAUUAAUGACCAAAAGACGAUGAUUUUCGUCUGAAUCUUGUAUUUUGCGCAUCGUGACAUCACGUGCCUUCGACUGAAGAGCAGUGAUAUCCCUUUGUGCGGUAAAUAUUGUGCAUUCAUCUUCUAGACAGUGCUUGCUGAGAACAUGGAUGGAGGGGAAGGAGUGGAGGGUCCUCAUUUCUGACCCUGAGGUUCAGCCUCUCCCUGCGCGCUCUCCAAGUGGUGCUCCGAGCCCCCCAGGACCUGGCAACUCUGUCCCUCCCCCACGGGGAACCCGC